CUCACCUAGGCGACGAUCCSUARCUGGUCUGAGAGGAUGAYCAGCCACMCUGGAACUGAGACACGGUCCAGACUCCUACGGGAGGCAGCAGUGGGGAAUAUUGCACAAUGGGCGCAAGCCUGAUGCAGCCAUGCCGCGUGUAUGAAGAAGGCCUUCGGGUUGUAAAGUACUUUCAGCGGGGAGGAAGGUGWUGUGGUUAAUAMCCRCAGCAAUUGACGUUACCCGCAGAAGAAGCMCCGGCUAACUCCGUGCCAGCARCCGCGGUAAUACGGAGGGUGCAAGCGUUAAUCGGAAUUWCUGGGSGUAAAGCGCACGCAGGCGGUYUGUCAAGUCGGAUGUGAAAUCCCCGGGCUCAACCUGGGAACUGCAUUCGAAACUGGCAGGCUAGAGUCUKGUAGAGGGGGGUAGAAUUYCAGGUGUAGCGGUGAAAUGCGUAGAGAUCUGGAGGAAYMCCGGUGGCGAAGGCGGCCCCCUGGACAAAGACUGACGCUCAGGUGCGAAAGCGUGGGGAGCAAACAGGAUUAGAUACCCUGGUAGUCCMCGCCGUAAACGAUGUCGAUUUGGAGGUUGUGCCCUUGAGGYGUGRSUUCCGSAGCUAACG
rnacentral:rRNA from 1 species